rnacentral:rRNA from 1 species
ACUACGGGAGGCAGCAGUGGGGAAUAUUGCACAAUGGGGGAAACCCUGAUGCAGCGACGCCGCGUGAGUGAAGAAGUAAUUCGUUAUGUAAAGCUCUAUCAGCCGGGAAGAAAAUGACGGUACCUGAGUAAGAAGCUCCGGCUACAUACGUGACAGCAGCCGCGGGAAUACGUAGGGGGCAAGCGUUAUCAGGAUUUACUGGGUGUAAAGGGAGCGUAGGCGGCAGUGCAAGUCUGGAGUGAAAGGCGGGGGCUCAACCCCCGGACUGCUCUGGAAACUGUCCGGCUGGAGUGCAGGAGAGGUAAGUGGAAUUCCUAGUGUAGCGGUGAAAUGCGUAGAUAUUAGGAGGAACACCAGUGGCGAAGGCGGCUUACUGGACUGUAACUGACGUUGAGGCUCGAAAGCGUGGGUAGCGAACAGGAUUAGAUACCCUUGUAGUC